UACGAAGGGGGCUAGCGUUGCUCGGAAUCACUGGGCGUAAAGCGCACGUAGGCGGAUUGCUAAGUCAGGGGUGAAAUCCUGGAGCUCAACUCAGAAAUUGCAUUAGAAACUACCUUGCUAGAGGAUUGGAGGGGGGACUGGAAUUCUCGGUGUAGCAGUGAAAUGCGUAGAUAUCGAGAGGAACACCAGUGGCGAAGGCGAGUCCCUGGACAAUACCUGACACUGAGGCACGAAAGCUAGGGGAGCAAACAGG
rnacentral:rRNA from 1 species